rnacentral:tRNA from 1 species
AGGCACGUAGCUCAGCUGGUUAGAGCGCCAUCCUCACACGGUGGAUGUCAGCGGUUCAAAUCCGCUCGUGCCUA